UACGUAGGUCCCGAGCGUUGUCCGGAUUUACUGGGUGUAAAGGGAGCGUAGACGGCAGGGCAAGUCUGGAGUGAAAGGCAGGGGCCCAACCCCUGGACUGCUCUGGAAACUGUCCGGCUGGAGUGCAGGAGAGGUAAGUGGAAUUCCUAGUGUAGCGGUGAAAUGCGUAGAUAUUAGGAGGAACACCAGUGGCGAAGGCGGCUUACUGGACUGUAACUGACGUUGAGGCUCGAAAGCGUGGGGAGCAAACAGG
rnacentral:rRNA from 1 species